GAUGAACGCUGGCGGCGUGCCUAAUACAUGCAAGUCGAGCGAACGGACGAGAAGCUUGCUUCUCUGAUGUUAGCGGCGGACGGGUGAGUAACACGUGGAUAACCUACCUAUAAGACUGGGAUAACUUCGGGAAACCGGAGCUAAUACCGGAUAAUAUUUUGAACCGCAUGGUUCAAAAGUGAAAGACGGUCUUGCUGUCACUUAUAGAUGGAUCCGCGCUGCAUUAGCUAGUUGGUAAGGUAACGGCUUACCAAGGCAACGAUGCAUAGCCGACCUGAGAGAGUGACCGGCCACACUGGAACUGAGACACGGUCCAGACUCCUACGGGAGGCAGCAGUAGGGAAUCUUCCGCAAUGGGCGAAAGCCUGACGGAGCAACGCCGCGUGAGUGAUGAAGGUCUUCGGAUCGUAAAACUCUGUUAUUAGGGAAGAACAUAUGUGUAAGUAACUGUGCACAUCUUGACGGUACCUAAUCAGAAAGCCACGGCUAACUACGUG
rnacentral:rRNA from 1 species